UACUGGUGGAGGAAGUGGUUUAAAAACUCUGUUCGUAUGCCAGCUAUUAUCUAGCAAAAAAAUAAUGUUUUAUCAUGUAAUUUAAACCAUUAUGAGACAUAGCUAACAUAACAAAACCAUGGCAUGUCAACAUGUGUCUGCUUGUCCUACCUUGAGAUCAUCAUGGAGAGUGGCUCUUGAUGUUGCUUGUAGAGUCAGCCAGCCAUGGAAGGGGAGUAGUUUGUCUUACUCUGGCUUUGCUCCCAUGGAGCCUGGUCACCAGGACAGACGUAAAGAUGACUCCACCAUCUUGGCUGAACAGACACUGCACACACCUGUCAUGCUUAGAAGUGCUCCAAUGUUUAGAUAUUCAACCUGGCCAGGACAGAUGGACAUGAGUCAAAGGCCUUCUGUUUCUGGUGGGCAGUGCGGAGGGAGAUUUGAUGGGCCCCCUGGGUGGCUGAGAGAUGCUGCAUGGACAGGGCAGGUGGGGGCCAUGGGUCAACAACUUAGUCAGGCAUUGUGCCACCGUAAGGCUGUUGGCAGGACAUAGAGUGCUGCCUGCAACACUCCUGCCUGAACUUUAGCGCCUCUUACUGUAACUCCUUCACUCUCCGCCCAUUGGCCAACUGUCCCAAUACAGCUAGCCAAGAGCUUGCCAUUAAAAACAAGUGUUAGAUAGAUUUUUUAAAAAUGUAAUUCUAGUCACUGCACAUAGAGCCUGUCAAUCUAAGGUGUAGCCUGGUUGCAUAUAUAUUACAGUAUUGCUUUAUACAGUUUGUGCUUCACCCCGAAAUGCUGAAAUAUAAUUUAUUAAAAGCUGAAAGACCGGCAAUGUAGCACAGUAAUUAAAAGCUGUAAUAAUUUACGUUAAAGCAGCAAUCUGCUGUUUAAACAAUAAUAAAGGUCACCCCGCCACUGUUUUGGUAAAAUGCUGAGGGAUGUGGCUUAAGAAAUGUAACCACUCUCAAAUUCAUAGACAGAGCUAUGUAUGGACUGACUAUCCAUGAUGCAACAUUUGAGUUUUAGCCAUGUUUUGAGGCCAUACUGUGUUUAUAAUGACAUUAUUUACAAACAAGUUUAGGCAAUAAUUUGGGUUCUGAUGGGGUACGACAGUUGAACUAAGCUUUUGAGUAAUUUAUAAGAUAUAUUCUUCAAGAACCCGUGGGUAUACAUCAUUCAUUUAAAUGGCCAUGUGGGAUGUAGUAGUCACAGAUUGGCCCUUUAAGUUGUGCUUACUUGUGUGUGUAUGCUGCUGUAAUUACACUUGUAGCAACAUUGUCAAACCAGCAUUACCAAAUAUACAUAUUGGCAUACUCAGUCCACUCCCCCAUACUCAAAUACAUUAGCAGAAUGUUUUGGGUACUGCACAUCCAUCUUACCUUCAACUUUCAGACUGAGACACUUGUGUGUGCAGAAAGUAGGCUAGCUGUGUAAAUAGAAACUACAUAAACACUAAGCCUACUUUGGCAUGCUUGAUUGAAUCCAGCUCUUACUGUAAUUUCUCUUUGAUUGAGAUUUGAAAUGCGUCAUGUUCAGACUGCUCGCUGGAACAUUGCAACGACAAUGGCAACUGUUUAUAAACUGAAAUGUAAGGUCUCACAAACA